AUGGGGUUGUGGUGUAGGUAGCGGCGCGACAAUGUGGCUGGGCUCUUUGUUCUCUCGUUCAUUUCUUCAGACAUAUCCGAGUUCCACAGCUCCAAAGGUCCUCAAUCUCCCCAUCGUCGAAUUCUACAGUUCCAAAGCUCCCAAUGUUUGAAGAGGAAGAAGAACUUGAAAUGCUUAUGGAAAACUAUCUCCAAAGAUAAAAUUCGUUAAAGAUAUCUAGUGUCCAACUUGAUCCACUUCAACAAGUGGAGACAACAUGUGGAACACAUUUAUAUAUGAGCUUCAGGUUUGUUGAUUGACAAAGAGGGAGUACGCAUGGAGAAGACGAAGGAGAGAGUGAAAAGAAAAAAAAUGUUUCUUUGGCAAUCUUGGCUCGGGGUUGUAGUUUAAGGUUCAUGUUAUAGUGGCAUUCUAAUUUUAAUUAUUUGUUUUAUUUGACAGUGCAAUAUUCUCAUAUGUAAGGGGUAGAAGUUUUAGUCUACUUGAUUAGUUGUUGGAAGAUGUUGAAGUUUUACCCUUUACUUGUAGUUGCUAAGACAACCCUGCUUCAUAAUCUACCUGUUUAGUUUAUAGGUUUUGGAGAUAAACAAAUUAUAAUUUGUU